ACCGACAAGAACAAAGGCUGAUCUGGAGAUUGACUUAACCCUCCCGACUUCCCUCCUCUGUGCCGAUGAAGAGCUGAAGGACACACUUUUGAAAAUGCAAACAAACACAAUUUCUCUCAACAAGUGUCAUCAAUGAAUGAUACACGGAUUGAGUAUCAGCAUUUUAGUAGUGUAUGUUGCUACUGUAUCUGUUUCAGUUGUCCUUUGUGGUUUUAUCUCACUGACUGGGAGUCUCUUUCGUGCAAGUGUCCGGCUAACGAUAAAUAUUGUUCACAGACAACAGGUUUACACAUUUUUUAAAAAUGACCACCAAAUCUUGCACCUUGUGCUACAAUAUGGUAUAUCUGUGUCACAUCCACAAUUAUCUGGACACAGUGGCAGAAAACUGGAUAAGAUGAAACGCUUCAGUAACAAGACAUUCUCCUGAGGGAUCCAAAGGGAAUUCCAGAGUCAGUUAAACUGUGUAAUCUCUUCAACUGGGUCUCUUACCUUGGGAUUCUAAUCAGAUGCAGCGCGGCUUCAAAUGUUUCCGCUCGGUGCAAAGUGGCUGUGGUUCAACUUGCAGCUCAUUCUCAAUGGCAAAAAAUGUCGGAGCAGUCACCCUGACAAGGAAAUUUUAUGUCAUUCGCAGCAUCUUUACCAAAUUACCAAAUACAGCCAUUAAUUGGAAAUUAACGGUGACCCUUUUCGAAGGUUGAUAGGAAAAAAUCUCUACCAUAAAAAAAAUCUUUGGAAUGAUGUAGUGUGCUGCCAGUAAAAGUCUGACCUAAAGAUGUGUGCUUAUAAAUUCAGAUUUUCCAGCAGCCAAAGCAGAAUAGGUCAGGAACCUCUGCAGUUUUCAGAAUACUCGCUCAGUCUGGAAAUGCUUACACGUGCAGACUUUGUAAAACCUGAUGUUAUGUGCAAUAAACACACGCACGCAGACACACGCACGUUGGUGUCUCUCUCUCUCUCUCUCUCUCUCUCUCUCUCUCUCUCUCUCUCUCUCUCUCUCUCUCUCUCUCUCUCUCUCUCUCUCUCUCUCUCUCUCUCUCUCUCUCUCUCUCUCUAUAUAUAUAUAUAUAUAU